rnacentral:lncRNA from 1 species
CAGGCCCAGCGCCUCGCCCCCAGAUCUGCAUCGGAAUGCAGAAAAGAUCUUAAAAAAAAAGUUUUGAAUUCCUCAAUGAUUUUUCUUCUGGAAAGGCAGCUUAGGAUAAUUAUUUCAGCUUUAUUGAGGGCAGAUUAGUUGAAGUCUGGACGCCGCGUUUCAAUACGCGUUGUACGCGGGUCACAAUGCCG